CUCGCAAGAGUGAACUAGCUAACUGAAAUCAUAUGACUCAUGAAUUUGGUGAUUAUGAUAACAUAAGGGAGAAAAAUGAUGUUACCUUAUUAUUAGUGUUGUCCAAAACUGGUGCCAGAAGACUCGGUAAGACCAGAGACGCAAACGUUAGUCAUCUUAAUCAGGCGUAAAGGGUGUGUAGGCUGCUUUAAAAGUUUAUUUUUUUUAAUAGCUCUGUAAGCGUAAUACCCUAUAGUUUUUUUAUAUAAAAAAAAAAAACAAAAAAUAGGGUAGGAGUAGUAUCUCAAAAUUAUAUUUAUAUUUAUAGGUAUAAUUAAGAAUACAAACGGUAGUUAACAAAGCAUACCCGUGGAUCAGAAAAAAAAUAAAUGAAUUAGAGCUAGAAUCAAAUAGAGGAUAACCCAAAUAAUGCUUAGAGUAGGGAUUAAAUCUGUAGAUACUAAGUGGAAUACUAACGGUGAAGACUUUUUAUCCAUUAAUGAUUGACGCUGAGAAACGAAGGUGAGAAUAGGAAAUAGGAUUUGAUACCCAGAUACCUCUCACUGUCAACGAUGAAUGGUGGUUGGUAGUUUUAGUAAAAACUGGUAACGAUGUUAACACGUUAACCAUUCCGCCUUGCGAGUACGGUUGCAAAACUGAAACCAAAAAAAUUAGUCGGUCUCGAAGCAAACGAAGUGAAGCAU
rnacentral:rRNA from 2 species